rnacentral:misc_RNA from 1 species
UUGAAUGAUUCAUCGACUUUCUCUUUUGAAGGUAUAGCCUGUGUCACUUCGAUAUAAAACUGGAGUUAUCAGCAUGUUUGGCUUCAACAUUAGCAGAUUUACAAUCAUAAGCUUUUUCUUCCAUUUGGCUGAAUGGCAUCCUUUGGAAUAGCAAAGAUGCAUAGGGCUUGAGCCCUCUCUAUCCCACUCUUCUAUUUCAGAAUUAGGAGUUGAUUUUCUUUCGUGGCUGAGAAUUUUGGUAACUGCUUUAAAGUUUGAGCUUUUGAUGUAUCAUAAGAACUAUUCACUUGCCAGAGUAAUGGGCUGUUGUAGCUGUUUUGGGUUCUGGAAGCCCAAACGGAGAACUAGGCCCAUUUCU